GUGAGGAAUAUUGGACAAUGGGCGCAAGCCUGAUCCAGCCAUGCCGCGUGCAGGAAGACGCAUCUAUGGUGUGUAAACUGCUUUUGUACGGGAAGAAACACUCCCUCGUGAGGGAGCUUGACGGUACCGUAAGAAUAAGGAUCGGCUAACUCCGUGCCAGCAGCCGCGGUAAUACGGAGGAUCCAAGCGUUAUCCGGAAUCAUUGGGUUUAAAGGGUCCGUAGGCGGUUUAAUAAGUCAGUGGUGAAAGCCCAUCGCUCAACGAUGGAACGGCCAUUGAUACUGUUAGACUUGAAUUACAAGGAAGUAACUAGAAUAUGUAGUGUAGCGAUGAAAUGCUUAGAUAUUACAUGGAAUACCAAUUGCGAAGGCAGGUUACUACUUGUGGAUUGACGCUGAUGGACGAAAGCGUGGGGAGCGAACAGGAUUAGAUACCCUAGUAGUCC
rnacentral:rRNA from 1 species